rnacentral:rRNA from 2 species
UAGGGAAUCUUCCGCAAUGGGCGAAAGCCUGACGGAGCAACGCCGCGUGAGUGAUGAAGGUCUUCGGAUCGUAAAACUCUGUUAUUAGGGAAGAACAAAUGUGUAAGUAACUAUGCACGUCUUGACGGUACCUAAUCAGAAAGCCACGGCUAACUACGUGCCAGCAGCCGCGGUAAUACGUAGGUGGCAAGCGUUAUCCGGAAUUAUUGGGCGUAAAGCGCGCGUAGGCGGUUUUUUAAGUCUGAUGUGAAAGCCCACGGCUCAACCGUGGAGGGUCAUUGGAAACUGGAAAACUUGAGUGCAGAAGAGGAAAGUGGAAUUCCAUGUGUAGCGGUGAAAUGCGCAGAGAUAUGGAGGAACACCAGUGGCGAAGGCGACUUUCUGGUCUGUAACUGACGCUGAUGUGUGAAAGCGUGGGGAUCAAACAGG